rnacentral:rRNA from 1 species
CGGACGGGUGAGUAAUGCUUGGGAAUCUGGCUUAUGGAGGGGGAUAACUACGGGAAACUGUAGCUAAUACCGCGUAAUAUCUUCGGAUUAAAGGGUGGGACUUUCGGGCCACCUGCCAUAAGAUGAGCCCAAGUGGGAUUAGGUAGUUGGUGGGGUAAAGGCCUACCAAGCCGACGAUCUCUAGCUGGUCUGAGAGGAUGACCAGCCACACUGGAACUGAGACACGGUCCAGACUCCUACGGGAGGCAGCAGUGGGGAAUAUUGCACAAUGGGGGGAACCCUGAUGCAGCCAUGCCGCGUGAAUGAAGAAGGCCUUCGGGUUGUAAAGUUCUUUCGGUGAUGAGGAAGGUGUUUGUUUUAAUAGAACAAGCAAUUGACGUUAGUCACAGAAGAAGCACCGGCUAACUCCGUGCCAGCAGCCGCGGUAAUACGGAGGGUGCGAGCGUUAAUCGGAAUGACUGGGCGUAAAGGGCACGCAGGCGGUGACUUAAGUGAGAUGUGAAAGCCCCGAGCUUAACUUGGGAAUUGCAUUUCAUACUGGGUCGCUAGAGUAUUUUAGGGAGGGGUAGAAUUCCACGUGUAGCGGUGAAAUGCGUAGAGAUGUGGAGGAAUACCGAAGGCGAAGGCAGCCCCUUGGGAAUAUACUGACGCUCAUGUGCGAAAGCGUGGGGAGCAAACAGGAUUAGAUACCCUGGUAGUCCACGCUGUAAACGCUGUCGAUUUGGGGAUUGGGCUUAGAGCUUGGUGCCCGUAGCUAACGUGAUAAAUCGACCGCCUGGGGAGUACGGCCCGCAGGUUAAAACUCAAAU